rnacentral:rRNA from 1 species
GAUGAACGCUAGCGGCAGGCUUAAUACAUGCAAGUCGAGGGGCAGCAUGAAUGUAGCAAUACAUUUGAUGGCGACCGGCAAACGGGUGCGGAACACGUACACAACCUUCCUAUAAGUGGGGAAUAGCCCAGAGAAAUUUGGAUUAAUACCCCGUAACAUAAUGAUGUGGCAUCACAUUAUUAUUAUAGCUUCGGCGCUUAUUGAUGGGUGUGCGGCUGAUUAGAUAGUUGGCGGGGUAACGGCCCACCAAGUCUACGAUCAGUAGCUGAUGUGAGAGCAUGAUCAGCCACACGGGAACUGAGACACGGGCCCGACUCCUACGGGAGGCAGCAGUAAGGAAUAUUGGUCAAUGGACGCAAGUCUGAACCAGCCAUGCCGCGUGAAGGAUUAAGGUCCUCUGGAUUGUAAACUUCUUUUAUCUGGGACGAAAAAAGGCUAUUCUUAGUCACUUGACGGUACCAGAUGAAUAAGCACCGGCUAACUCCGUGCCAGCCGCCGCGGUAACAC